rnacentral:rRNA from 1 species
GACGAACGCUGGCGGCGUGCUUAACACAUGCAAGUCGAACGGAAAGGCCCUGCUUGCUGGGUACUCGAGUGGCGAACGGGUGAGUAACACGUGGGUGAGCUGCCCUGCACUUCGGGAUAAGCUUGGGAAACUGGGUCUAAUACCGGAUAGGAAUCAUCAUUAGUGUGGUGGUUGGAAAGUUUUUUCGGUGUAGGAUUAGCUCGCGGCCUAUCAGCUUGUGGGUGGGGUAAUGGCCUACCAAGGCGGCGACGGGAAGCCGGCCUGAGAGUGUGUACGUCCACAUUGGGACUGAGACUCGGCCCAGACUCCUACUGGAGGCAGCAGUAGCGAAUAUUGCACAAUGGGCGUGAGCCUAAUGCAGCUACGCCGCGUGGGGGAGGAAGGCCUUCUGGUUGGAAACGCCUUUCGCUAGGGACGAAGCUUUUUGUGACGGUACCUAGAGAAGAAGCACCGGCUAACUACGUG